UCUUAUCAAAUACGCAAUUCAUUCACACCUGCCUCUCGUUCACACCACGCCACAUCCCUCGCAAUUCACAAACCUACAUAUAUAUUCUUCUUUUCUUUUUCUCUCUCAUCUCUCUCUCUCUCUCUUCAAAUUCCAUAACCCCCUCAAACAACAUACCUCAAAACCUUUUCCUCAUAUACCAUAUUAAUAUUCAUCACUGCUCCAUGUCCUUCUUCUUUUCCUUUUUCUGGAUGAUUUGAUCUGAUUUAAUUUGAAUUGGAUCUCACUUUCACUUCAAAUCUUUUCUUUUUUCUUUUCGAUAAAUAAUGGAAAGUCAUCAUCUCCAUCAUCAUCAUCAUCAACAACAAUACCCACCGCCACAACGUCAUAAUAUUAGUGCAGCAACAACAACGAGUGCAGGAACUAAUAACAACGUUGUGGUUGUUGAUGUGACAGGAGAUAGUAGGUUCCCUCAAUGGAGCAUCCAAGAAACAAAGGAGUUCCUAAUGAUCCGUGCAGAGCUGGAUCAGACUUUCAUGGAGACAAAGAGGAACAAGCAGCUCUGGGAAGUCAUCUCCAACACCAUGAAAGAAAAGGGUUACCAUCGAAGCGCUGAGCAGUGCAAGUGCAAGUGGAAAAACCUUGUUACCCGUUAUAAGGGAUGUGAAACGAUGGAGGCAGAAGCAAUGAGGCAGCAAUUCCCAUUCUACAACGAGCUUCAAGCUAUCUUCACCGAUAGAAUGCAGAGGAUGCUUUGGGCCGAAACAGAAGGCGGAGGCGGAGGAGGAGGUUCUUCUAAUAACAAGAAGAAAGCUGCGACAGCGCAGCUGUCUUCGGACGACGAAGAAGAGGAAGAGAGCGAAUUAGGAGAUCCUCAACAAAAGAAUGUAAAGAGAAAGAAAAGAUUAAAGAAGGUUAAGAGGGUGGAAGAUAGUGGUGGUGCGAGUAAUUUGAAGCAUCUGAAGGGGAUUCUGGAGGAGUUUAUGAGGCAACAGAUGGAGAUGGAGGCGCAAUGGAUGUCGGUGUUUGAGGCGAGGGAGAAUGAUCGGAGGUUGAAGGAGUUGGAAUGGAGGCAGACAAUGGAGGCUUUGGAGAAUCAGAGGAUGAUGAUGGAGCAGAGAUGGAGGGAGAGUGAAGAACAAUGGAGGAUUAGGGAAGAAGCUAGGGCUCAUAAGAGAGAUGCUCUUAUCACUGCACUUCUCAACAAGCUUUCAAGACAACAAGAUCAAUAACCAACUUAGUUAGUUAGAGUUAGUUAUCUUUGUUGGUUAGAACUAACUUCCUUUUCAUACUGUGUUUAUGCUACUGAAUUGCUCAUGAUGAUGAUGAUGAUGAAGCAAAGCUUAAUUUGACACAUUAUGGAGGGCCUAACUAACAACCGAAAACGGGCAAAAAGAAUGAUGGACAAGGCAUUGGCCGCAAGAUAAUGGUUCAUCAUGUUGUCUAUUCCAUAAUGUAUAUGAAGAGCACAGCUUUUAGGUUAAUGGCCCAUUUUUGCUACAAUGGAUACUCAUCACUACUUCUACACAUACACACACACACACACACAAUUACAUUUGUUGCUUUCACUUUAUUUUGAUUAACAUGAA